GUCCACGCCGUAAACGAUGAAUACUAGGUGUAGGGGUUGUCAUGACCUCUGUGCCGCCGCUAACGCAUUAAGUAUUCCGCCUGGGGAGUACGGUCGCAAGAUUAAAACUCAAAGGAAUUGACGGGGGCCCGCACAAGCAGCGGAGCAUGUGGUUUAAUUCGAAGCAACGCGAAGAACCUUACCUAGACUUGACAUCUCCUGCAUUACCCUUAACCGGGGAAGUUCCUUCGGGAACAGGAAGACAGGUGGUGCAUGGUUGUCGU
rnacentral:rRNA from 1 species